GAUGAACGCUAGCGGGAGGCUUAACACAUGCAAGUCGAGGGGCAUCACGAGGUAGCAAUACUUUGGUGGCGACCGGCGUACGGGUGAGUAACGCGUAUGCAACCUACCCUGUACAGGGGGAUAGCCCGGAGAAAUUCGGAUUAAUACCCCAUAAAGAUAUCCUCAGGCAUCUUUGGAUAUUUAAAGUUUCGACGGUACGGGAUGGGCAUGCGUAACAUUAGCUAGUUGGUAGGGUAACGGCCUACCAAGGCGACGAUGUUUAGGGGUCCUGAGAGGGUGAUCCCCCACACUGGUACUGAGACACGGACCAGACUCCUACGGGAGGCAGCAGUGAGGAAUAUUGGUCAAUGGGCGCAAGCCUGAACCAGCCAUCCCGCGUGCAGGAAGAAGGCGCUAUGCGUCGUAAACUGCUUUUCCGGAGGAAGAAAACCCCUGACGUGUCGGGGCUUGCCGGUACUCUGGGAAUAAGCAUCGGCUAACUCCGUGCCAGCAGCCGCCGUAAUAC
rnacentral:rRNA from 1 species